rnacentral:rRNA from 1 species
UACAGAGGGUGCGAGCGUUAAUCGGAAUUACUGGGCGUAAAGCGCACGUAGUCGGCUUUGCAAGUCGGGUGUGAAAUCCCCGGGCUCAACCUGGGAACUGCAUCCGAGACUGCAUUGCUAGAGUAUGGGAGAGGGAAGCGGAAUUUCUGGUGUAGCAGUGAAAUGCGCAGAUAUCAGGAGGAACACCAAUGGCGAAGGCAGCACUCUGGGACGUGACUGACGCUGAGACGCGAAAGCGUGGGGAGCAAACAGG